rnacentral:rRNA from 1 species
UACGUAGGGGGCAAGCGUUGUCCGGAAUCAUUGGGCGUAAAGCGCGUGUAGGCGGUUUCGUAAGUCUGCUGUGAAAGUCGGAGGCUCAACCUUCGAAAGCCGGUGGAUACUGUGAGACUUGAGUACGGAAGAGGAGAGUGGAAUUCCUGGUGUAGCGGUGAAAUGCGCAGAUAUCAGGAGGAACACCAACGGCGAAAGCAGCUCUCUGGGACGUUACUGACGCUGAGACGCGAAAGCGUGGGGAGCAAACAGG